GACGAACGCUGGCGGCGUGCUUAACACAUGCAAGUCGAACGGAAAGGCCCUGCUUUUGUGGGGUGCUCGAGUGGCAAACGGGUGAGUAACACGUGAGUAGCCUGCCCUUGACUUUGGGAUAACUUCAGGAAACUGGGGCUAAUACCGGAUAGGAGCUCCUGCUGCAUGGUGGGGGUUGGAAAGUUUCGGCGGUUGGGGAUGGACUCGCGGCUUAUCAGCUUGUUGGUGGGGUAGUGGCUUACCAAGGCUUUGACGGGUAGCCGGCCUGAGAGGGUGACCGGCCACAUUGGGACUGAGAUACGGCCCAGACUCCUACGGGAGGCAGCAGUGGGGAAUAUUGCACAAUGGGCGGAAGCCUGAUGCAGCAACGCCGCGUGCGGGAUGACGGCCUUCGGGUUGUAAACCGCUUUCGCCUGUGACGAAGCGUGAGUGACGGUAAUGGGUAAAGAAGCACCGGCUAACUACGUG
rnacentral:rRNA from 1 species